rnacentral:rRNA from 1 species
UGGGGAAUAUUGCACAAUGGGCGCAAGCCUGAUGCAGCCAUGCCGCGUGUAUGAAGAAGGCCUUCGGGUUGUAAAGUACUUUCAGUCGGGAGGAAGGUGGUAAGGUUAAUAACCUUGUCGAUUGACGUUACCCGCAGAAGAAGCACCGGCUAACUCCGUGCCAGCAGCCGCGGUAAUACGGAGGGUGCAAGCGUUAAUCGGAAUUACUGGGCGUAAAGCGCACGCAGGCGGUUUGUUAAGUCAGAUGUGAAAUCCCCGGGCUCAACCUGGGAACUGCAUCUGAUACUGGCAAGCUUGAGUCUUGUAGAGGGGGGUAGAAUUCCAGGUGUAGCGGUGAAAUGCGUAGAGAUCUGGAGGAAUACCGGUGGCGAAGGCGGCCCCCUGGACGAAGACUGACGCUCAGGUGCGAAAGCGUGGGGAGCAAACAGG